ACUGAAAUAGCUCAGUUGGUAGAGCAUCGGACUAUCUAUAAAUCGAAAGGUCCUUGGUUCAGUCCCCGGUUCCGGCA
rnacentral:tRNA from 1 species